rnacentral:rRNA from 1 species
UGGGGAAUAUUGCACAAUGGGGGAAACCCUGAUGCAGCGACGCCGCGUGGAGGAUGACGGCCUUCGGGUUGUAAACUCCUUUUGUCAGGGACAAUGGUGAUGGUACCUGACGAAUAAGCCACGGCUAACUCUGUGCCAGCAGCCGCGGUAAGACAGAGGUGGCGAGCGUUGUUCGGAAUUACUGGGCUUAAAGGGCGCGUAGGCGGUGGUGUAAGUCUGGGGUGGAAUGCUACAGCUCAACUGUAGAGCUGCCUUGGAAACUGCAUUACUUGAGUCGGUGAGGGGAAGGCGGAAUUCCUGGUGUAGCGGUGAAAUGCGUAGAUAUCAGGAGGAAGGUCUGUGGCGAAGGCGGCCUUCUGGCACUUGACUGACGCUGAGGCGCGAAAGCGUGGGGAGCAAACAGGAU